GAGAGUGCCGGCCUCCAGGCUGAGCUGUGAGGACAAAGCGGAGGAGGCAGAAUUGGUUUGGACAGGUGGGGCCUGAGAGUGUGGGCUGAGGGGCUGGUCCUCCACAAGGGAAGGGAAGCCAUUUUUGAGAUGGGGAAGGAGCGCUGCAGAUGGGUGCAGGAGCAUGUUGGGGAACCCGAGAAGGAGACUGAGGGGCCUGCUGUGGAUGAGUGGAUGGCCGUGCCCACAGAUGCUGGCAGAAUCUUGAAGGUCGACUGCAGAAAUGGCUCAAUUCUCAACCUCUCACAAUGUGGUCCUGCUGGUCCUCCCAUCAAGAGAUGACUAUCUUCUCACCCCAGGAGGAUGUCAAGGUAGAGAGAAACCAGAUGACUGGCUCAGGGACGCAUGCAUGCGAGGAUGGACCAUGAGGAAAAUGGGAUCCAGGAUGUGUCAAUUCCAUCUUGCUGCUUUUUGGUCAUUGUCCCAGCUCUACAAGAUGGCUGAAAUCUUAACCUCUCAGCAGUUUCUUCCAGGCUUCUUAGCCUCUGGUCGCCAUUUACUAAUUGGUAAAUACCUCAAGAGA